rnacentral:tmRNA from 1 species
GGGGACGAUCGGUUUCGACGGUAGUUGUCCAGCAAGGGGAAGCGGGCCGAGGAUCCCAGGUCAUCUCGUCAACGCUCCUGGGAAACCAAUAAGUGCCGAACCCAAGCGCACUGACUUCGCUCUCGCCGCCUGAUAGCCGCGACAGCAGUCUGGAACCCCGGGAUUGCUCCUGACCCGGAUCGUUCCAUCAUCUAAGGAGCCACUGCUUCCAUCCUUCGUCAUCGAGGAUGGGUGAACACCUCAGAGUGACUGAGUCCGUCGGCGACGCGUCAGCACGAGCGCCGGGACUGAGAAGACGUCAUUGCUGACUGCGCCCGGAGAAGCCCUGGCUUCGCACUAUCGGACGCGGGUUCGAUUCCCGCCGUCUCCACGA